UUUCNNUGGGCGCAAGCCUGAUGGAGCGACGCCGCGUGGGGGAUGAAUGGCUUCGGCCCGUAAACCCCUGUCAUUCGCGAUCAAACCUCGUUAUUUAAAAGAUGACGAGCUGAUAGUAGCGGAAGAGGAAGGGACGGCUAACUCUGUGCCAGCAGCCGCGGUAAUACAGAGGUCCCAAGCGUUGUUCGGAUUCACUGGGCGUAAAGGGUGCGUAGGUGGUGAGGUAAGUCGGAUGUGAAAGCUCGGAGCUCAACUCCGAAAUGGCAUUGGAAACUACCUUGCUCGAGGGUUGGAGGGGGGACUGGAAUUCUCGGUGUAGCAGUGAAAUGCGUAGAUAUCGAGAGGAACACCAGUGGCGAAGGCGAGUCCCUGGACAACUCCUGACACUGAGGCACGAAAGCUAGGGGAGCAAACAGGAUUAGAUACCCUGGUAGUCCUAGCCGUAAACGGUGCACGUUUGCUGUAAAAGGAAUCGACCCCUUUUGUGGCGUAGCCAACGCGUUAAACGUGCCGCCUGGGAAGUACGGUCGCAAGAUUAAAACUCAAAAGAAUUGACGGA
rnacentral:rRNA from 1 species